rnacentral:rRNA from 1 species
AGUUUUCAGAGAUGAGAAUGUGCCUUCGGGAACCGUGAGACAGGUGCUGCAUGGCUGUCGUCAGCUCGUGUUGUGAAAUGUUGGGUUAAGUCCCGCAACGAGCGCAACCCUUAUCCUUUGUUGCCAGCGGUCCGGCCGGGAACUCAAAGGAGACUGCCAGUGAUAAACUGGAGGAAGGUGGGGAUGACGUCAAGUCAUCAUGGCCCUUACGACCAGGGCUACACACGUGCUACAAUGGCGCAUACAAAGAGAAGCGACCUCGCGAGAGCAAGCGGACCUCAUAAAGUGCGUCGUAGUCCGGAUUGGAGUCUGCAACUCGACUCCAUGAAGUCGGAAUCGCUAGUAAUCGUGGAUCAGAAUGCCACGGUGAAUACGUUCCCGGGCCUUGUACACACCGCCCGUCACACCAUGGGAGUGGGUUGCAAAAGAAGUAGGUAGCUUAACCUUCGGGAGGGCGCUUACCACUUUGUGAUUCAUGACUGGGGUGAAGUCGUAACAAGGUAACCGUAGGGGAACC